rnacentral:rRNA from 1 species
UAUGGAAAGGGAAGAAAUGGGCUACAUUCCCUAACAUAGCGAAUAUACGAACGAUGCACUGAAAUACGCAUCUGAAGGAGGAUUUAGCAGUAAGCAGAAAAUAGAGCGUUCUGCUGAAACCGGCCCUGAAGCGCGCACACACCGCCCGUCACUCUCCCCAAGCUUACUUACUCUAAGUACUUAAAACCUUAAAACUGCAAAGGGGAGGCAAGUCGUAACAUGGUAAGUGUACCGGAAGGUGCACUUGGAAAAAU